GAUCCUGGCUCAGGACGAACGCUGGCGGCGUGCCUAACACAUGCAAGUCGAACGGAGUCGGCCCCGCAAGGGACUGACUUAGUGGCGAACGGGUGAGUAACGCGUGAGCAACCUGCCUUUCAGUGGGGGACAACAGUUGGAAACGACUGCUAAUACCGCAUAAAGCAUUUUGACCGCAUGAUCGAGAUGCCAAAGAUUUAUUGCUGAAAGAUGGGCUCGCGUCUGAUUAGAUAGUUGG
rnacentral:rRNA from 1 species